rnacentral:rRNA from 1 species
UACGGAGAGGACGAGCGGGGGUAGAGGUGCACGCGCGGGGGCGGCGCCGGGGCGGACGCGGCGGAGAGCGGCGGCGGCGGGUACCAGCGGCAGGACGGGCGCGGGCGCGGGGGCGGGGCGGGGCAGUGCGAGGAGGGGUAGGGGUGCGGGGGCGGGGAGUUGUGGCUGCGGAAGCUGACCGAGCUGGAGAAGCGGAAGGAGUUGAGGGGGCGGCUGAGGAUGGUCUAGGGGGUGGGCGGGGGCGGCGACCGCCUGUUGCGCCGUCACCUCCUCCUCGACCGCUAUUAGGAGCUCGCCCUCUUCCUGGCCCUCGCCCGCGCCUCCCGCCUGGUGGCCGCCGACGCCGUCGCCGUCCAGUUCCGCCUCUGCCUCCGCACCCGCGCCCGGCGCCUCCUCAUGGCGGUCGAGCUCGCGCUCUACGAGCUGGCGGUGGAGCGGGGGGUCGACGGGAUGCAGUUCAGCGAGAAGGAGCCGACCAAGCUCGGCGACGCGCUGCGGCAGCGGUCCCUGGUCCUGCACGUCGCGGCGUUCGCCCAGUUCGUGCAGAUGCGGUUCAUGGACGAGGACGAGGGGCGGCUCUUCCAGCGGCAGUAGCAGUACGUGUUCUACUACCCGGAGGAGUACAGGUCGUUCCUGCCGACGCCGUCGCAGGCGCAGCAGGUCCGGCGCGUGAGGUAGCCGCUCCGGCAGCUCGCGCUCAUGUUUCAGGUCCGAAAGAAAGUCUUCUGAUCCUCUUUUUGAUCCUCGUUUUGACUGUCACUUUUACUAGGUCGUAAUUUGUUCCUUGUCCGUUUUACGGCCUUUGAACAAUUCUCAAACCACUCCUCCGCUUUUAACUGACUUCGUGUCUUCGAACACGUCGUCCUCUAACUUGACCUCCUUACCCCGUGUCUUCGGGUUCACUUCGAUCCUUGAGCGGACUAACUUAACAACAACCUAAGCCGUAAACACGUCAGUGGUCGGCUGGUUUGUGGGCUGUCAAGAGGACUAAAAGCUGGACGUAAAUUCGUACAUAACGCUUUCGGAUAACAUCUUUUACCCUCUGAUUUCUUCUUCGUGAAGCACUAUCUCACACUAGGAGAACACGUACUCCCCAAGCUUUCGUGACGAUCUGUGCACCUCUAUGGGAUAGAAGGAUACGACCAUGGAGGAUGCUUUACCUUCCCGAUACUAUUUCCGCCUGUGGAAAAAGACGGAAGCAUACAAUACGCCUGUGUACCACACUUCCUGGUCUUCCUUCGGUAAUUCUCACAAGGUUCUUUUGUCGACGCUUUUCAUAAGCUCCGUAAUCUAUAGGAACCCCCAUGAUUUACCUCUCACUUAUCUGCCCAUGUACUGCAACAACUCUGAUAAACCUCAGCACCACCCCCAUAACGUCCUGAACAACUAUUCCCUUUAUAAGGAGAUGGACUUGUUGGACUUUGUCUUCUGGGUCUACUUUAGGUCUUUACCUUCACCUCGCAUUUCUUCUGUUUCUUUCGAUUGGCGCUUGACGUACGACUCGCUACGCUAUGUCUUGAUUUUGAGAGACAACGAGCAUUUUACUCUCUCCUCCUACCGAAGAUAAUAGGAGUAUUAGAUCUAAAGGCACCAGCACGUAUGGGAUACGUAGGUGUAGACUCAGUGGAUCCAAGUCUAGAUACGGCUCCACAGGAUCUCAUACGACUUCCCGCCGGUGAGCCUUUUAGACCAAAUGCGACCAACUUCUAUGUAAACCGAUUGUUUAUACCGCCUCCGUAACUUUUCGAAAGAGUACUCUCGUUUGAUCGCAAACACCUCCUAGUAAACGGACUAUAUAAACUAAGUCGUAGUUUAGGACAACUACCCUUGACAACCACCUAAUUACGACUCCUAGGUAAAGUUACAGAUCGACGUACGUACCUAGAAAGAUUCCGUAAUCUUUCAGGUAGUGGAGUACUACGACAGAGAGUGGAUGGAUAAGUAGUCCUACCAAGUACGUUACCCAAUGUUGUGAUACGGCGAGAACCUUCUCUGAUAUACCCACGCCGUCGACAGUUGAACCAAGGACCUCUCUUUGGACGUCUAUAGAUGAGUCUUUAUCGACGAUCCCAUAACCUACAACAUGCCCUUCUGAGUUACUUUCUAGGACGAUGACUAGGUUCACAAAGUAAUCGUUUCCAAAAUCAACUACUCCACCUAUCCUUCGACCAGUUCGUCUGUCACUACUGCAGUCAAAUACCACAGUGUAAAUAGCCACGAGCGGUCGUUUAAUACUUCUCCGAAGUUCUCUUUCCUGUGUAAUGUCUACUGUUUAACGAGAUACUACACAGGACGAUACGAUGGUCCCAUUGAAACCUACGUGAUCCUGUUUACAAGGUUAGACGGGCACGAUAUUACCGUACCGAACCACUGACACGUUUCUACUAACGAAGUUUUUUAGUUGGUCAGUCUACCUGCUCAGGACAACCAGAAGGUCAACACGUUGGUAUGUUCUUUAUAUUUUUGAUAUACUAUGCUUGAAGAAACGUUACAGACCGAAAUGCUGCCCUCCCACUACGUUAACGUUGGGUUGCCGUUUUCCGUCGAAAAGGUGGCUUAAAACACGUAAGAGAACUAUCAAGUGUAUACUACUACUGCCGUUAAUGAACGUUCCUCCGACCAGAAGUAAAACGUCCUCACGUACUGAGUAAAACCCACGUACGUACACUACAGCUAUUUUACUUAGUCUAGAACUCUCUCGUUAAGCACCUCGACAUGUCGUACGGUUAGGAACUUUUGGAUGACCUUCUCAAAGUUUGUAAUAAAGGCUGUCAUCUCAAAGGAGGGACGGGUCGUGUCCCCUUAAAACUACACUCUCUUCAAGAGUUCAGAUGGAUAAAGAAGUUGAUUCGAAUGGCCCUCUCAAUGUGAAAUUGUACAGGUACCCGAGCCGUACCAACUUAUCGACUUAACGGUCUAGUAAAAUAAGUGUUUAGUGUCUUUCUACCAACACGUCGUCGGUCGCCGACUACCCGGUUCUUCGACUCAAAAAUUUUUAGAAACCGCACUCUUCGUUAAUGUCGUCGUUCGGUAACGUUGAGUCGGAACAACCGUGUGGCCGUUAUCUUCGCACUUACCACAAAACCGUAGCCGUUUAGUUGAGCGACCUGAGACCUGGGUCCUCGUACGGUUUACCUAAAUUUCAAGUCAGUUCCGCGACGGAUGGUCAUGAGUCCGGUUCUUCCAUUCAAUACC